rnacentral:rRNA from 1 species
GACGAACGCUGGCGGCGUGCCUAAUACAUGCAAGUCGAACGCAGUGGGGACGGGUGAGUAACACGUGGGUAACCUCCCAUCAGAGGGGAUAACACUUGGAAACAGGUGCUAAACCGAUACUGAUGGAUGGACCCGCGGUGCAUUAGCUAGUUGGUGAGGUAACGGCUCACCAAGGCCACGAUGCAUAGUCGACCUGUGCGGGUGAUCGGCAACACUGGUACUGAGACACGGCCCAGACUCAUACGGGAGGCAUCAGUAGGGAAACUUCGGAAAUUGACGAAAGUCUGACCGAGCAACGCGGCGUGAAUGAAGAAGGUGUUCGAAUCGUAAAGCUCUGUUGUUAGAGAAACGGUAUCUAACCAGGAGGCCAAGACUAAGUACGUUCCAGCAGCCGCGGUAAUUC